rnacentral:rRNA from 1 species
GAGUUUGAUUCUGGCUCAGGAUGAACGCUAGCGGCAGGCCUAACACAUGCAAGUCGAGGGGUAGAGUGCUUCGGCGCUUGAGACCGGCGUACGGGUGCGUAACGCGUGUACAAUCUACCUUUUGCUAAGGGAUAGCCCGAAGAAAUUUGGAUUAAUACCUUAUAGUAUUAUUUGGUGGCAUCAUUAAAUAAUUAAAGCUACGGUGGCAAAAGAUGAGUACGCGUCCCAUUAGCUAGUUGGAGUGGUAACGGCACACCAAGGCUACGAUGGGUAGGGGUUCUGAGAGGGAUGUCCCCCACACUGGUACUGAGACACGGACCAGACUCCUACGGGAGGCAGCAGUGAGGAAUAUUGGACAAUGGUCGGAAGACUGAUCCAGCCAUGCCGCGUGCAGGAUGACGGCCUUAUGGGUUGUAAACUGCUUUUGUAUGGGAAGAAUAAGGUCUACGUGUA